rnacentral:rRNA from 1 species
GAUGAACGCUGGCGGCGUGCCUAAUACAUGCAAGUCGAGCGAACGGACGAGAAGCUUGCUUCUCUGAUGUUAGCGGCGGACGGGUGAGUAACACGUGGAUAACCUACCUAUAAGACUGGGAUAACUUCGGGAAACCGGAGCUAAUACCGGAUAAUAUUUUGAACCGCAUGGUUCAAAAGUGAAAGACGGUCUUGCUGUCACUUAUAGAUGGAUCCGCGCUGCAUUAGCUAGUUGGUAAGGUAACGGCUUACCAAGGCAACGAUGCAUAGCCGACCUGAGAGGGUGAUCGGCCACACUGGAACUGAGACACGGUCCAGACUCCUACGGGAGGCAGCAGUAGGGAAUCUUCCGCAAUGGGCGAAAGCCUGACGGAGCAACGCCGCGUGAGUGAUGAAGGUCUUCGGAUCGUAAAACUCUGUUAUUAGGGAAGAACAUAUGUGUAAGUAACUGUGCACAUCUUGACGGUACCUAAUCAGAAAGCCACGGCUAACUACGUGCCAGCAGCCGCGGUAAUACGUAGGUGGCAAGCGUUAUCCGGAAUUAUUGGGCGUAAAGCGCGCGUAGGCGGUUUUUUAAGUCUGAUGUGAAAGCCCACGGCUCAACCGUGGAGGGUCAUUGGAAACUGGAAAACUUGAGUGCAGAAGAGGAAAGUGGAAUUCCAUGUGUAGCGGUGAAAUGCGCAGAGAUAUGGAGGAACACCAGUGGCGAAGGCGACUUUCUGGUCUGUAACUGACGCUGAUGUGCGAAAGCGUGGGGAUCAAACAGGAUUAGAUACCCUGGUAGUCCACGCCGUAAACGAUGAGUGCUAAGUGUUAGGGGGUUUCCGCCCCUUAGUGCUGCAGCUAACGCAUUAAGCACUCCGCCUGGGGAGUACGACCGCAAGGUUGAAACUCAAAGGAAUUGACGGGGACCCGCACAAGCGGUGGAGCAUGUGGUUUAAUUCGAAGCAACGCGAAGAACCUUACCAAACCUUGACAUCCUUUGACAACUCUAGAGAUAGAGCCUUCCCCUUCGGGGGACAAAGUGACAGGUGGUGCAUGGUUGUCGUCAGCUCGUGUCGUGAGAUGUUGGGUUAAGUCCCGCAACGAGCGCAACCCUUAAGCUUAGUUGCCAUCAUUAAGUUGGGCACUCUAAGUUGACUGCCGGUGACAAACCGGAGGAAGGUGGGGAUGACGUCAAAUCAUCAUGCCCCUUAUGAUUUGGGCUACACACGUGCUACAAUGGACAAUACAAAGGGCAGCGAAACCGCGAGGUCAAGCAAAUCCCAUAAAGUUGUUCUCAGUUCGGAUUGUAGUCUGCAACUCGACUACAUGAAGCUGGAAUCGCUAGCAAUCGUAGAUCAGCAUGCUACGGUGAAUACGUUCCCGGGUCU